GACGGAGGAUGCAAGUGUUAUCCGGAAUCACUGGGCGUAAAGCGUCUGUAGGUGGUUCGAAAAGUCCACUGUUAAAAAUUGAAGCUUAACUUCAAAGAUGCCGUGGAAACUUUCAAACUAGAGUGUGGUAGGGGUAGAGGGAAUUUCCAGUGGAGCGGUGAAAUGCGUAGAUAUUGGAAAGACCACCGACGGCGAAGGCACUCUACUGGGCCAUUACUGACACUGAGAGACGAAAGCUAGGGGAGCAAAUGGG
rnacentral:rRNA from 1 species